AGAACGAACGCUGGCGGCAUGCCUAACACAUGCAAGUCGAACGCUUUUGGGGCUUCGGUCCCAAAGGAGUGGCGCACGGGUGAGUAGCGCGUGGGAACCUGCCCUGGAGUGGGGGAUAACCGAGGGAAACUUCGGCUAAUACCGCAUACGCCGGGAAACCGGGAAAGAUUUAUCGCUCUAGGAGGGGCCCGCGUCGGAUUAGGUAGUUGGUGGGGUAACGGCCUACCAAGCCUGUGAUCCGUAGCUGGUCUGAGAGGAUGAUCAGCCACACUGGGACUGAGACACGGCCCAGACUCCUACGGGAGGCGGCAGUGGGGAAUAUUGGACAAUGGGCGCAAGCCUGAUCCAGCAAUGCCGCGUGAGUGAUGAAGGCCUUCGGGUUGUAAAGCUCUUUCGCACGCGAGGAUGAUGACGCUAGCGUGAGAAGAAGCCCCGGCUAACUUCGCGCCAGCAGCCGC
rnacentral:rRNA from 1 species